GGGGGCGUAGCUCAAUUUGGUUAGAGUCCCAGACUGUCGAUCUGGUUGUUGCGAGUUCGAGUCUCGUCGCUCCCGCCA
rnacentral:tRNA from 3 species